GGCAUUGGUUCAUUGUCCUUGCCCUGGUCAAACAAAGCUUUUGCAAAGUAAUUUCCCUUGGGAGCUGGUCUUUGUUAAAGAGAACAGAAAGAAAAAUAGAAAGCUUUAGGCAUAUUUCAAAAUAUAUAAUUUUCCCUUGUGUAUAUUUCAAAAUGAUUACUUUUCCUCCUUCUGGAGCUGGAAGCAAGAGGGGAUUUUUCUCAGAUGUUCACCAUGACAACUUGAUGGGUCUCUUGAAGAAAUUGAUAGAAGUUUUGAACAUCUGCUACAGGAAGAUAAUGAAACUAGUGAUUUGGGACAGUAGAAGAACCCACAGGAGGAAGUUUCACAUUUGGAUCCUUUCUUAA
rnacentral:lncRNA from 1 species